AGUGAACGCUGGCGGUAGGCCUAACACAUGCAAGUCGAACGGCAGCACAGUAAGAGCUUGCUCUUACGGGUGGCGAGUGGCGGACGGGUGAGGAAUACAUCGGAAUCUACUUUUUCGUGGGGGAUAACGUAGGGAAACUUACGCUAAUACCGCAUACGACCUACGGGUGAAAGCAGGGGAUCUUCGGACCUUGCGCGAUUGAAUGAGCCGAUGUCGGAUUAGCUAGUUGGCGGGGUAAAGACCAACCAAGGCGCGGGUCCGUAGCUGGUCUGAGAGGAUGAUCAGCCACACUGGAACUGAGACACGGUCCAGACUCCUACGGGAGGCAGCAGUGGGGAAUAUUGGACAAUGGGCGCAAGCCUGAUCCAGCCAUACCGCGUGGGUGAAGAAGGCCUUCGGGUUGUAAAGCCCUUUUGUUGGGAAAGAAAAGCAGCAGGUUAAUACCCCGCUGUUCUGACGGUACCCAAAGAAUAAGCACCGGCUAACUUCGUG
rnacentral:rRNA from 1 species